AUUGAACGCUGGCGGCAUGCUUUACACAUGCAAGUCGAACGGUAACAGGCCGCAAGGUGCUGACGAGUGGCGAACGGGUGAGUAAUGCAUCGGAACGUGCCCAGUCGUGGGGGAUAACGCAGCGAAAGCUGCGCUAAUACCGCAUACGAUCUAUGGAAGAAAGCGGGGGACCGGAAGGCCUCGCGCGAUUGGAGCGGCAGAUGUCAGAUUAGGUAGUUGGUGGGGUAAAGGCUCACCAAGCCGACGAUCUGUAGCUGGUCUGAGAGGACGACCAGCCACACUGGGACUGAGACACGGCCCAGACUCCUACGGGAGGCAGCAGUGGGGAAUUUUGGACAAUGGGGGCAACCCUGAUCCAGCAAUGCCGCGUGCAGGAAGAAGGCCUUCGGGUUGUAAACUGCUUUUGUACGGAACGAAACGGCUCUGGUUAAUACCCGGGGCUAAUGACGGUACCGUAAGAAUAAGCACCGGCUAACUACGUGCCAGCCGCCGCGGUAACAC
rnacentral:rRNA from 1 species